GACGAACGCUGGCGGCGUGCCUAAUACAUGCAAGUCGAGCGGACGAAUCGAAAGCUUGCUUUUGAUUCGUUAGCGGCGGACGGGUGAGUAACACGUGGGCAACCUGCCCUGUAGACGGGGAUAACACCGAGAAAUCGGUGCUAAUACCGGAUAACACGAAAUGUCGCAUGACGUCUCGUUGAAAGACGGCGCAAGCUGUCGCUACAGGAUGGGCCCGCGGCGCAUUAGCUAGUUGGUAAGGUAACGGCUCACCAAGGCGACGAUGCGUAGCCGACCUGAGAGGGUGAUCGGCCACACUGGGACUGAGACACGGCCCAGACUCCUACGGGAGGCAGCAGUAAGGAAUCUUCCGCAAUGGACGAAAGUCUGACGGAGCAACGCCGCGUGAGCGAAGAAGGCCUUCGGGUCGUAAAGCUCUGUUGUUAGGGAAGAACAAGUAACGCAGUAACUGGCGUUACCGUGACGGUACCUAACGAGAAAGCCACGGCUAACUACGUG
rnacentral:rRNA from 1 species